GUGUCCUCCUUUCUCAUCCCUCCCCGGGACGAAAAGCUGUUGCCUCUUCCCAGAACACUUAGUGGCGCGUAAUCCGUCUGGCUUGCCAGAUCUCCUCAUCCGAUCCUAAGCGUGCACAGGGGUAAACUUGUCGAAACUACUUUCUCUCCCUAGGCAGCCAUACAGGCAUCUCUGUGUUCUCUGCUCAAGUUCUCCCAAAUAUUCUCAUUUCUCUCCUAUGCACAACGCAACCUAUCCAUGCCCGUUGAUAUUGAAAGAGUCUAGUCUAUCUCCUCUCUCAAAGAAGCUAUAGGGGAUCCACCCGACAUGCUGGGGGUCAUUCUCCUCAAAUUUUUUUCCUUCUGUUGCCUCAUAAUGACAACAUAUUGCUUUUAAAGAACGCAAAACCUCUACUACAAUGUAAAGAAAAACAGCUUUGACUAAUGAAUAGAAUUGAACAACCUAGUCCACACAGAAAGGAAAAUUUCAGGAUGCUGUCAUCAGGCCUGCCUGUAAACACCAUGCAACUAAUCAGUCUUUGAAAUACAGAUGAAGAAGUCCAAAGCCAUUUGUAUUGGGCCCAGUAUUCACCAUAUACAAGGUGUCAAUAAUAGUGUGCUCCAAGUUCUGAGCACAGCUCAUCAUCCAUUUGCAGUGUUUGGUGAAGAUAUAUGUAUUGGUGUUUCAUGACUUCCAGCAUUGAAUAUCAAAAUCUCUGGAGAACUGAGGUUAAGGAUCACCAGAAAGGAAGGGUUAUAAUCUGCACAAUUAGAGGGCCAUUUUUUUUUAAUGGACAAAUUCACUCCUCCACAGGAGUACCAGUUAUUUCCCAUCUUUCUACAUCUUGAGAGAGGUGAGGCAGAGCAUAGGGGAAACCAAUUAAGAGGUUCUGUGAGCGAAUGCCAUUAAGGACAGCGAUGAUGAAAACACAUUCUGUUCAUGAUAUGGCAUGGUCUUAACUGCUGCAAAAAGAAUUCUUUAAUUUAGUGAGUUGCCAUGGGAAUGAAAUUAAACCAAAUGGGUGGGAGCAAAGGGUUGAGUUAAACUGGGACAGCUAGGUGGUGCAGGGAAUAGAGUGCUUGGAGUCAAUAAGACCCUAGUUAACAGCUUCAGACCAUACUGUGUGAUCCUAGGCAAGUCACUUAACCUUGUUCACCUCAGUUUCCUCAUCUGUAAAAUGAGCUGGAAAAAGAAAGAGCAAACCUCUUUAGUAUUUUUGCCAAGAAAACUCCAAAAUGAGGUCAUGAAAAAAGGACAUGACUUAAACAUUAAACUGGCAUUUUUAUAUAUAUAUAUACA